UACAGAGGGUGCAAGCGUUGUUCGGAAUUACUGGGCGUAAAGCGCGUGUAGGCGGUUUAUCAAGUCUUGUGUGAAAGCCCUGGGCUCAACCCAGGAAGUGCGCAAGAUACUGGUAGACUGGAGUGACGGAGAGGAUGGCGGAAUUCCCGGUGUAGAGGUGAAAUUCGUAGAUAUCGGGAGGAACACCUGUGGCGAAGGCGGCCAUCUGGACGUUAACUGACGCUGAGACGCGAAAGCAUGGGGAGCAAACAG
rnacentral:rRNA from 1 species